AGUCGAGCGAAGUUUUUAAAGCGGAUCCCUUCGGGGUGAAACUUUAACUGUCUUAGCGGCGGACGGGUGAGUAACGCGUGAGAAACCUGCCUUUCACAAAGGGAUAGCCUCGGGAAACUGGGAUUAAUACCUUAUGAUACUCUUUUCCAGCAUUGGAGAAAAGUCAAAGCGUAAAGCGGUGAAAGAUGGUCUCGCGUCCCAUUAGUUAGUUGGUGAGGUAACGGCUCACCAAGACUGCGAUGGGUAGCCGGCCUGAGAGGGUGAACGGCCACACUGGAACUGAGACACGGUCCAGACUCCUACGGGAGGCAGCAGUGGGGAAUAUUGCACAAUGGAGGAAACUCUGAUGCAGCGACGCCGCGUGAACGAUGAAGGCUUUCGGGUCGUAAAGUUCUGUCCUAGGGGACGAUAAUGACGGUACCCUAGGAGGAAGCCCCGGCUAACUACGUGCCAGCAGCCGCGGUAAUACGUAGGGGGCGAGCGUUGUCCGGAUUUAUUGGGCGUAAAGGGUUCGCAGGCGGUCUCUUAAGUUAGAUGUGAAAGAUCACGGCUCAACCGUGGUAAGCAUUUAAAACUGGGAGACUUGAGUUAAGGAGAGGAAAGUGGAAUUCCUAGUGUAGCGGUGAAAUGCGUAGAUAUUAGGAGGAAUACCAGUGGCGAA
rnacentral:rRNA from 1 species